AGGGUAAUGGCUUUCUUUGAGAGCCAACAAUUCCUUUUGUCAAUUUUCGGGAUGUGGAUUAUAUUUUGAGCUCUUCUAUGAUAAAAUGAAACGGCCCACUUGAGAAGCAGUCCACGUAGUGAGCCGAGUUUCUAUUAUUGGGUUGUCUGAAGCCAUUCGGGAGGGCUGAACUCUUUGUGAUCUGGUGGGGCUCUUGGGUUGCCAUGGAGCUGGGCUGGCAGAUGACCAAGGGAGAGUGGAACAUUCCAGUCAGCUGGGCUUCGGUGUUGCUAAUUGUGCCUGACCUAAAAUACUUCCACAAAGAGCAUCAACGGCAGACUAACUUUGUGUGUCAUCCAUGAAGUAAAGUUGAUUGUUUGGGGGAGAACUCGAAUCUGUAGCUUUGAAAACUAGAAUGCUCCCUUAAGGAGAACAAAGCAGAAACCAGAACCCAAGACGCUGAGGAAUUGGUCAGG